GGUUUCAUGGUGUAGCGGUUAUCACAUAUCCUUAACAAUUCACUGCCUGAGGACAGUAAGGUGUUGCGGAUAAGGUCCCCGGUUCGAGACCGGGUGAAAUCA